rnacentral:rRNA from 1 species
GACGAACCGUGCGAACGUUAUUCGGAUUCACUGGGCUUAAAGCGUGUGUAGGCGGAUCGUUAAGUACCUUGUGAAAUCCCAUGGCUCAACCAUGGAACUGCUUGGUAUACUGGCGAUCUUGUGCAACCUAGGGGCGAGCGGAACAGAUGGUGGAGCGGUGAAAUGCGUAGAUAUCAUCUGGAACGCCAAUGGUGAAAACAGCUCGCUGGGGGUUUGCAGACGCUGAGACGACGAAAGCCAGGGGAGCGAACGGG